rnacentral:rRNA from 1 species
GAUGAACGCUAGCGGCAGGCUUAACACAUGCAAGUCGAGGGGUAUGCCGAUUUAUCGGCAGAGACCGGCGCACGGGUGCGUAACGCGUAUACAAUCUACCUUUUACAGAGGGAUAGCCCCAGAGAAAUUUGGAUUAAUACCUCAUAGUAUUUUUGAAUCGCAUGAUUUGAUUAUUAAAGUUCCAACGGUAAAGAUGAGUAUGCGUCCCAUUAGCUAGAUGGUAAGGUAACGGCUUACCAUGGCUACGAUGGGUAGGGGUCCUGAGAGGGAGAUCCCCCACACUGGUACUGAGACACGGACCAGACUCCUACGGGAGGCAGCAGUGAGGAAUAUUGGUCAAUGGACGCAAGUCUGAACCAGUCAUGCCGCGUGCAGGAUGACGGUCCUAUGGAUUGUAAACUGCUUUUAUACAGGAAGAAACACUCCGACGUGUCGGAGCUUGACGGU